GACGAACGCUGGCGGCGUGCUUAACACAUGCAAGUCGAGCGGUAAGGCCCUUUCGGGGGUACACGAGCGGCGAACGGGUGAGUAACACGUGGGUGACCUGCCCUCAGCUCUGGGAUAAGCCUGGGAAACCGGGUCUAAUACUGGAUAUGACUCCAUGACGCAUGUUGUGGGGUGGAAAGCCUUGUGCGGCUGAGGAUGGGCCCGCGGCCUAUCAGCUUGUUGGUGGGGUGANGGCCUACCAAGGCGACGACGGGUAGCCGGCCUGAGAGGGCGACCGGCCACACUGGGACUGAGACACGGCCCAGACUCCUACGGGAGGCAGCAGUGGGGAAUCUUGCGCAAUGGGCGAAAGCCUGACGCAGCGACGCCGCGUGAGGGAUGACGGCCUGGUGUAACUCUUAC
rnacentral:rRNA from 1 species